AUUGAACGCUGGCGGCAGGCCUAACACAUGCAAGUCGAACGAGUGGCGGAGGGGUGCGUAAUGUCUGGGACACUGUCUGAUGGAGGGGGAUACCUACUGGAAACGGUAGCUAAUACCGCAUCCCAUCGGAUGUGCCCAUAUGGGAUUAGCUGGGAGGUGGGGUAACGCCUCACCUAGGCGACGAUCCCUAGCUGGUCUGGGAGGAUGACCAGCCACACUGGAACUGGGACACGGUCCGGACUCCUACGGGAGGCAGCAUUGGGGAAUAUUGCACAAUGGGCGCAAGCCUGAUGCAGCCAUGCCGCUGGUAUUAAGAAGGCCUUCGGGUUGUAAAGUACUUUCAGCGGGGAGGCGUUACCCGCAGAAGAAGCACCGGCUAACUCCGUGCCAGCCGCCGCGGUAAUGC
rnacentral:rRNA from 1 species